rnacentral:misc_RNA from 1 species
AGGCUUCUCAAGGAGGAAUUAUUGGGAUUACUGUUUUUACGGCAUGGGCAGUUCCUAAAUAUGAUGAUGUUUCUAGCAGGAAAGCUGCCUCCAGAGCUCUUGAUUUCUUGAUCGGAUGGAUUGUGCAUCCAAUCACUUAUGGUGACUACCCAGUAACCAUGCGAUAUUUGGUGGGUAAUAGACUUCCUGAAUUUACAGAAAAACAAGCAAAAAUGGUGAUAGGGUCUUUUGAUUUCAUUGGAAUAAAUUACUAUACAGCAUCAUAUGCAGAAGAUGUUGCAUCUUAUAGCAGUAUCAAUCUGAGUUAUACAACGGAUAGCCGAGUUAAUAGAACAACUGAGAAGAAUGGGAUUCCUAUUGGCGAGCCGACUGAUUGCAGCUGGCUAUACAUAUACCCAAAAGGAAUUUAUAAACUUCUGCUGUAUCUAAAGAGAAAAUACAAUCAUCCUGCCAUUUACAUCACAGAGAACGGAAUGGGAGACAGUAGCUCAUUGUCACUUGCUAAUGCUCUAGAAGAUAAGUUAAGGAUAAAAUAUCACCAUCUUCAUCUACUAUCUAUCUUAAAAGCUGUUAAGGAAGGUGUUGAUGUGAGAGGAUACUAUA